rnacentral:rRNA from 1 species
GACGAACCGUGCGAACGUUGUUCGGAAUCACUGGGCUUAAAGGGCGCGUAGGCGGACGACCAAGUCGGGGGUGAAAUCUUUCGGCUCAACCGGAAAAUAGCCUUCGAUACUGGCCGUCUAGAGGGAGGUAGGGGCGUGUGGAACUUCCGGUGGAGCGGUGAAAUGCGUUGAUAUCGGAAGGAACUCCGGUGGCGAAAGCGACACGCUGGAUCUCAUCUGACGCUGAUGCGCGAAAGCCAGGGGAGCGAACGGG